GCCACUUUGUGGUUCAUGACUGGGGUGAAGUCGUAACAAGGUAGCGCUAGGGGAACCUGGCGCUGGAUCACCUCCUUACACGAUGAU
rnacentral:rRNA from 1 species